rnacentral:rRNA from 1 species
AUGACCUUUGAUAAUGAGAAUGACGUGUGAGAAUACUACACCAAAUAUGCUAAAGCGAAAGGCUUUGGUGUGAUGAGAAGAAGUUCAAAUACUGAUGCUAAUGGACAACUGAAGUACCUUACACUUUCCUGCACCCGCAAUGGUAAGACUCAGUCCAAAUCAAGAAAUAUGUUGAAGCCAAAUCCAUCAGUCGGGUUAGGAUGCAAAGCUAAAAUUAAUAUUGCUCGUGGUCCUCAUGGAAAGCUUUAUCUUUCAACUGUCGUUUUGGAUCAUAAUGAUCCAUUAAGUCCAUAAAAAUCUCGGUUAUUCAGAUGCAACAAAAGAUUAGAUUUUCAUGUCAAGCGAAAGCUUGAGUUGAAUGACCGGGCUGGAAUUCGAGUAAACAAGAAUUUAUAUUCUUUUGUUGUGGCAGAUGGUCAUGACAACCUAACAUUUGGCGAGAAAGAUUCUCGCAAUUAUCUAGAGAAAAUAAGAAGGUUGAAACUUGGUAGUGGUGAUGCUAAAGCGGUUCGUGACUAUUUCAUCAAAAUGCAAUCUGACAACCCACUUUUUAGUGUCAUGGAUGUUGAUGAUGAAUCCCGACUUAGGAAUGUAUUUUGGGCUGAUGCUAGAAGUAGAGAAGUGUAUGACUCUUUUUAUGUCAUCAUUACUUUUGACACAACAUAUUUGGUAAACAAAUAUGAUAUGCCUUUUGCUUGAUCUGUUGGAGUGAAUCAUUAUGGUCAGUCAGUGCUGCUAGGAUGUGCUUUAUUUUCAAAUGAAGAUACUACAACAUUUGUUUGGUUAUUUCAAGCAUGGCUCACUUGUAUGUCAAAUCAUCCACCAAAAGUUGUUGUUACUGAUCAAGAAAAAGCAAUUCAAAAUGUCGUGGAAAUAGUUUUUCCGGAUUCUCGAUACAGAUGGUGCUUGUGGCACAUUACGAAAAAGAUACCAGAGGGUGGAUAUGAGGAAUAUGAUCACAUAAGAGAUGAUGUUGGCAAGGCAGUUUAUGAUUCAUUAACAAUUGCAGAAUUUGAAGUUGCUUGGCUACAUAUGCUUGAGAAGUAUGAUAUUGGUGAUAAUGAGUGGCUUAAAGGGCUUUAUGAGCAUCGACACAGUUGGGUUCCAACAUUUGUGGAAGAUGCCUUUUGGGCAGGUAUGUCUACUACACAACGUAGUGAAAGUAUGAAUGCCUUCUUUGAUGGGUAUGUUAAUGCAAAAACUACAUUGAAGCAUUUUGUUAGCCAAUACGAGAAUGCUCUUCGUGAUAAAAUUGAGAAGGAGAAUAUUGCUGAUUUCAAUUCUUUCAAUUCAACCAUACCUUCUAUCACAAGAUUUGACAUCGAGAAGCAAUUUCAAUCAAUCUAUACAAAUUCGAAGUUCAAAGAAUUUCAAGAAGAGCUAACAGAUAUUAUGUACUGUGAGCGGAAGUUGAUACAAAAAGAAAGGGCAAUAGGAACACAUAAGAUAACCGAGGAUGUGCUAAUUGACGAAGAAAAAGAAUGGAGAAAAGAUAUUGUGUAUCACAUAUAUUUCAAUGAGGAAGAGUUUGAAAUUAAGUGUUCAUGUCGCCACUUCGAGUUCAGAGGUAUUCUUUGUAGGCAUGUGUUAAGUGUGCUCACUCAAAAGAAAAUCAAGGAGGUUCCUCCAAAAUACAUCCUUAAGCGGUGGAAAAAAAUGUGA